UCUGGUUGAUCCUGCCAGUAGUCAUAUGCUUGUCUCAAAGAUUAAGCCAUGCAUGUCUAAGUACGGCUCUAGUACGGUGAAACUGCGAAUGGCUCAUUAAAUCAGUUUUGGUUCAUUUGAUCGUAAAAGUUUACAUGGAUAACUGUUGUAAUUCAAGAGCUAAUACACGCUAAGGGCGGGAGUCUUUGAUUCUCGUGCUUUUAUCAGAUUAAAAACCAAUCGUCUUCGGGCGUGCGUUAUGGUGAGUCUGGAUAAUUUUAGCUGAUCGCAUGGUCUUGAACCGGCGAUGGAUCAUUCAAGUGUCUGACCUAUCAACUGUCGAUGGUAGCGUAUUGGUCUACCAUGGUUGUAACGGGUAACGGAGAAUUAGGGUUUGGUUCCGGAGAGGGAGCCUGAGAAACGGCUACCACAUCCAAGGAAGGCAGCAGGCGCGCAAAUUACCCAUUCCCGACACGGGGAGGUAGUGACGAAAAAUAACAAUUCAAGACUCGAAACGAGGCCUUGAAGUUGGAAUGAGUACACUUUAAAAUUUUUAACGAGUAUCUAUUGGAGGGCAAGUCUGGUGCCAGCAGCCGCGGUAAUUCCAGCUCCAAUAGCGUAUACUAAAGUUGUUGCGGUUAAAAAGCUCGUAGUUGGAUCUUGGAAUGUGAAUGCGCGGUCGCUUGAAAGAGUGAACUGCGUGGCGCAUUCUUCUAUUUGGUUGCGCGUGUUCGUGCUCUUAACUGAGUGCAACACUCGACCAGAAAUUUUACCUUGAAAAAAUUAGAGUGUUCAAAGCAGACCUGAUUGUGUCUGAAUAUUCGUGCAUGGAAUAAUAAAAUAUGAAUUCGGUUCUAUUUUAUUGGUUUUCGGAACUCGAGUUAAUGAUUAAGAGGGACGGACGGGGGCAUCCGUACUCUGCCGUUAGAGGUGAAAUUCUUGGAUCGGCGGAAGACGCACAACUGCGAAAGCAUUUGCCAAGAAUGUUUUCUUUAAUCAAGAACGAUAGUCGGAGGUUCGAAGACGAUCAGAUACCGUCCUAGUUUCGACUGUAAACUAUGCCAGCUAACGAUCAGACAGCGUUCUCUACGACUUGUCUGGCAGUUUCCGGGAAACCAAAGCUUUUGGGUUCCGGGGGAAGUAUGGUUGCAAAGCUGAAACUUAAAGGAAUUGACGGAAGGGCACCACCAGGAGUGGAGC
rnacentral:rRNA from 1 species